AUGGCGGGGCGCAGGGAGACCCAGCCGUGGAUGCAGCAGCCACACGCGACGUCGACCUCGCCCCUGACCCCGUCGUUCGGGUCGAUGCUCAGCGCUAAAGCCGACGAGUUCGUUCCUGGGAAGGCGUCGUCGACCCCCCAAGGCGCCUUGGAUCUGCAGGAGGUGCGUUCCCGCUUUCUCAGCGGCGGCGGGAUCGAUGCUCUGUCAACCAAGGAGGGAAUGAAGGCUCUCCGUCUACUACUGCGUGACUGCAAGCAGAAUUACGCAGCGCUGGACACCAUUGUGGAUGCUGCCGUGGAGGCCAAUGUGAUGUCAGCUGCGUAUAGCCGAAACAUUAUGAAGCUGCUGCUCGCUGCGGUCACAGACCACCCAGCUCUGCUGAAGAUGCUACUCGAGUACCUUGUUCGCUCCGAGCUGGUGCACAGAGCCCAAGGGGUGGAACUACUUCACUACUGCUUUACGUCCAUGGACUACAGACAUUGCAAGAUUUUAAUCCAGCACGGCAUCGACUCUUUGAGAACAAGAACACACCACACACGUCGUAUGUCUGAUUACUACAUUGAGUGCUUCAGGUGUGCCCAGGGCAGUGAGCUAUUAGUCUUUGAGGAGGUUGUGAUUGAGCGCGCCGUGGAUCUAGCACUUGGACAGUAUAGCAACUAUGCCAUUCAACACGUCCUCAAACACUGCGAGUAUGCGACGAAAUUGCGAAUUGUGGAGCAGUUGAUGCCAGAAGUACUCAUGCUGUGUCUAGAUGAACAUGGAGGGUAUGUGGUGCAGUCGUGCUUCAAGCAGGCUGACAAUGCACCCUUAGAUGCUGAUAUGUUGGUAAUUGUGCUGGAUACUGUGCUUGGCCUUGGAAUAGAGGAGCUAACCCAAAUGGUAACAGGCGACCAUUCUCACUGGGUCGUCCUCGAACUGCUGGGUGAAAAGAGCCAAAUUCUGAUGAAGGAAAGAGUGCGCAUACUGGCUUUGAUGAUCAGCCGACUUUCAGAGACCGUCCUGCAGCAACCGAAUGCGAGGCGCGUCAUGGCUCGACUUCCCGCGACGUCCUGA
rnacentral:rRNA from 1 species